CAAGCCAUUGCACUCCAGCCUGGGUGACAGAGUGAGACUCCAUCUCAAAAAUAAAAUGAAUAGAAUAGAAUAGAAUAGAAUAGAGAUAUUUCAUAAGGUGGUGUUACAUUAAUGAGAGAAUAUUAUCAAGGUAGCCUUAGUCCUUCUCCCUGAGUUCCUACAAUAAGCCCCAGGUCAGGGUUACAAACAUCAAGCAAAGGGAAUACUAAGGAGGUAGGGAUAAGACUACGAGUCAGGGCUGGUAAUAAAAAGGUGGUAGCCACCACGCCCAGGCAAAAGUCCUGCUUCCACAAAACACACUUUAUCUUCACUGCCUUGGGGUUAUAAUUUGGAAAUAUCUCAAUAUUGGUCACCAAACUGGAGUUGGCUGAUGGGGUUGGCUGUGCCCAUCUCUUCUUACU
rnacentral:lncRNA from 1 species